UCUAGCUCCCCCACCCCAGCUCCCACCCGGGUGAAGAAUCAAACCGCGCAGUGCUCGCGACCCCGAGCCUCUGUGAUGAAUGCGGAACUGGUAUGGAGCAUCUGCAAUGCAGCAUUUCCUGCAUGAUCGAGUCCUGAGCACAGGAUAUGCUAUCAUCCUGGAGAAGCCCCUAAUCUGAGUAUGCUACCAACAACGACCUGGGCAUCUUUCCCACCAGGGUACACACCUCAGAAUUCAGGAAAGAACAGAAAUGAAGGGUGACAGGAAGAUCUAAUUGUCACUCUGAUUUGGAAGGACUCAUGAAGCCACAUAUUUAAGGAUAUGAAUACCAAAAUAUUCUUGUUAAUUUCUGAUGAGCAAGGUGUUAUUUUUCUCUAAAGGAAAAAUUAUAUUUGAGAAAAUGGA